GACAAGGCCUGACUCGGUGGUCCCGGGCUCAGCAGCUCCUCGUCAUGGCCAUCUCCAGUGACAUGGCCGGUGGGUAGACCCCCAUCUUCCGCCGUUGUUAUUCUCUUUGCCUCGACCCCUCAUGCCACCGUAAUCAGGAAGAUUUUGAUGAAUUUAGUGAUGUCGAGGAUCUCUAUAGCACAUUGCCUAUGGAGAAGGUUGAAGCACUCGAAGACAUGGUUUCACUUGCUCCUUCCAGUCUUAUCAAGGGUGUUGCUGCUGUUUCCACUACUGCAGUUUUGAGGACGAAGAGUCCGACAGCAACUUC